AGAGUUUGAUCCUGGUUCAGGACGAACGCUGGCGGCGUGCCUAAUACAUGCAAGUAGAACGCUGAAGAGAGGAGCUUGCUCUUCUUGGAUGAGUUGCGAACGGGUGAGUAACGCGUAGGUAACCUGCCUUGUAGCGGGGGAUAACUAUUGGAAACGAUAGCUAAUACCGCAUAACAAUGGAUGACCCAUGUCAUUUAUUUGAAAGGGGCAAAUGCUCCACUACAAGAUGGACCUGCGUUGUAUUAGCUAGUAGGUGAGGUAACGGCUCACCUAGGCGACGAUACAUAGCCGACCUGAGAGGGUGAUCGGCCACACUGGGACUGAGACACGGCCCAGACUCCUACGGGAGGCAGCAGUAGGGAAUCUUCGGCAAUGGGGGCAACCCUGACUGAGCAACGCCGCGUGAGUGAAGAAGGUUUUCGGAUCGUAAAGCUCUGUUGUAAGUCAAGAACGAGUGUGAGAGUGGAAAGUUCACACUGUGACGGUAGCUUACCAGAAAGGGACGGCUAACUACGUGCCAGCAGCCGCGGUAAUACGUAGGUCCCGAGCGUUGUCCGGAUUUAUUGGGCGUAAAGCGAGCGCAGGCGGUUUGAUAAGUCUGAAGUUAAAGGCUGUGGCUCAACCAUAGUUCGCUUUGGAAACUGUCAAACUUGAGUGCAGAAGGGGAGAGUGGAAUUCCAUGUGUAGCGGUGAAAUGCGUAGAUAUAUGGAGGAACACCGGUGGCGAAAGCGGCUCUCUGGUCUGUAACUGACGCUGAGGCUCGAAAGCGUGGGGAGCGAACAGGAUUAGAUACCCUGGUAGUCCACGCCGUAAACGAUGAGUGCUAGGUGUUGGAUCCUUUCCGGGAUUCAGUGCCGCGGCUAACGCAUUAAGCACUCCGCCUGGGGAGUACGACCGCAAGGUUGAAACUCAAAGGAAUUGACGGGGGCCCGCACAAGCGGUGGAGCAUGCGGUUUAAUUCGAAGCAACGCGAAGAACCUUACCAGGUCUUGACAUCCCGAUGCUAUUUCUAGAGAUAGAAAGUUACUUCGGUACAUCGGUGACAGGUGGUGCAUGGUUGUCGUCAGCUCGUGUCGUGAGAUGUUGGGUUAAGUCCCGCAACGAGCGCAACCCCUAUUGUUAGUUGCCAUCAUUCAGUUGGGCACUCUAGCGAGACUGCCGGUAAUAAACCGGAGGAAGGUGGGGAUGACGUCAAAUCAUCAUGCCCCUUAUGACCUGGGCUACACACGUGCUACAAUGGUUGGUACAACGAGUUGCGAGUCGGUGACGGCAAGCUAAUCUCUUAAAGCCAAUCUCAGUUCGGAUUGUAGGCUGCAACUCGCCUACAUGAAGUCGGAAUCGCUAGUAAUCGCGGAUCAGCACGCCGCGGUGAAUACGUUCCCGGGCCUUGUACACACCGCCCGUCACACCACGAGAGUUUGUAACACCCGAAGUCGGUGAGGUAACCUUUUGGAGCCAGCCGCCUAAGGUGGGAUAGAUGAUUGGGGUGAAGUCGUAACAAGGUA
rnacentral:rRNA from 1 species